UACAGAGGGUGCGAGCGUUAAUCGGAUUUACUGGGCGUAAAGGGCGCGUAGGCGGUAGUGUGAGUGUGAUGUGAAAGCCCUGGGCUUAACCUAGGAAGAGCAUCGCAAACGACACAACUGGAGUAUAAGAGAGGGUGGCGGAAUUUCCGGUGUAGCGGUGAAAUGCGUAGAGAUCGGAAGGAACGUCAAUGGCGAAGGCAGCCACCUGGCUUAAUACUGACGCUGAGGCGCGAAAGCGUGGGGAUCAAACAGG
rnacentral:rRNA from 1 species